AUCUGGUUCAGGACGAACGCUGGCGGCGUGCCUAAUACAUAGCAAGUCGAACGGUCUUUUCUAAUGGAAGCUUGCUUCCACUGAAAAGAUAGUGGCGAACGGGUGAGUAACACGUGGGUAACCUGCCCAGUAAGAGGGGGAGUAACAUCCGGAAACGGGUGCUAAUACCGCAUAGUUUUCUUGAUCGCAUGAUCGGGAAAGGAAAGACGGCCUUUGUGCUGUCGCUUAUGGAUGGACCCGCGGCGUAUUAGUUAGUUGGUGAGGUAACGGCUCACCAAGACGAUGAUACGUAGCCGACCUGAGAGGGUGAUCGGCCACAUUGGGACUGAGACACGGCCCAAACUCCUACGGGAGGCAGCAGUAGGGAAUCUUCCGCAAUGGACGAAAGUCUGACGGAGCAACGCCGCGUGAGUGAAGAAGGUUUUUUCCGGAUCGUAAAACUCUGUUGUCAGAGAAGAACAAGUUGGAGAGUAACUGCUCCAGCCUUGACGGUAUCUGACCAGAAAGCCACGGCUAACUACGUGCCAGCAGCAGC
rnacentral:rRNA from 1 species